AACGGGACGAAAAGACCCCGUGAACCUUUACUAUAGCUUAGUAUUGGCUUUGGAUAAGUAAUGUGUAGGAUAGGUGGGAGACAUUGAAGCGGCGUCGCUAGGCGUUGUGGAGUCAUCCUUGAAAUACCACCCUUUGCUUAUCUAGAGUCUAACUCAGAGAUGAGGACAGUGCUUGGUGGGUAGUUUGACUGGGGUGGUCGCCUCCAAAA
rnacentral:rRNA from 1 species